rnacentral:misc_RNA from 1 species
AUUUUUUUUCCCUAGCUGAACCGUUUGUAAACUUGGUUGAUCAUUUCCUCUCAUACUAUUUACUAACAUUUUGGAUUCUGCAUCAUCAUUAUAAAAAUAAUCAUGAUGGACUGUAGAACAUACAGCGGUCUUUUUUAUAAGGUUAUCAUAGGCAACCAUUAGAAACUAUGAUUUUGAUGAUUUAUGUUGAUCAUGACGCUAAUAUAUGUAAGGCCUUAAGCUGUAUCAAAGUUCAACUCAUUGGAAUGAAUGUGAUCAUGCUUGAAUUAUGCAGUAUACAUCAUCUCACUUUAAUGUCAUAAUAUUUUGGUAUUAGAAGAAACAUUUUUAUGUGAUUUGAUUCAAACCAAUGGAGCAGAUUGGAUAAUUGAUCUAAACAUUGUACUCCACUGUUUGUGAAUUGUAUAAUUGAUCACUUACGAUAACUUUGGUGGACAACUGAUUACUGGGAAUGAAAGUUAUGAAACCUAUUUGAUUAUAGUAGUUUGUUGAUAAAGAGUAGGGAUUUGAAACAGCUGCAAUCAUGAAGGGCUUUUUACUCCCAUUGAGGCUUAGAACUCAUACAACACGAUAGGGUGUAAUACUAGUAUCUGGUACUUAAUGUCAAAGAUCUUUACAGUUGUCAAUAUUUAUUGGUCUACGUUGUGUUCAUUUCACAUUUUUGUCAGUUUAACAUCUAAAUAAAGCUGAAAGAUUGUGAUUUGCAAUUACAACAUGAUGAGAAAAGCAAUUCACAUAAGCACCAUUGUUGUGUGGCUGAUGACCUGGCUUUUUAACCACUUGAAGUGCACAUUGUUAUCGCUUUUAAGCAAUGGUGAAGUAAAGAACUUAGCAAAAUCUUUCACUGUUGUAAGUGUCGACAUUGAUUUUCUAUCAUCUUGCAACUUACAUCUCUUUAGAUAUAGGUGGUCCGUGGUCAUACCUGAUUCUUUUUUACGUGACAAUUUUAGGAAAUUCCAUUUAGUCUCAAUUAUUGGUUAUGGCUAUCAAGACUGUGCUUUCAAUUUGCAUUUAAUAAAAUUCUGUACAUAAAAGUUUUUAUUUUUGUUUGCUGGAUAAGCAUAACGUGAGCACUCAUUUAGUCAUUGGGUGUUUAUUGGAGAAAAUGUUGUGAAGACCUGCAAGCUGAAGGAUAUUGCUACUGCCUUUGAUUUCUUGGGCUGGCAUAUGAAAAUGUUAAAAAUUGACCAGACUGUUUUUCCUGCCAAGAAGCCAAGGGUGCUUUAUUGUAGUACUCAUUUGAUGCAUUAUCAAUUCAAUGGUAGCUGGUUUGGUUCUCUUCAGUUUUCAGCUCAUUUUCUCGACAGAGUUUUUUGACCCAUAGAUCACCAACCAUACUGUAACAUGAUUUUCUUUCUAAUACAUCCCAAUGGCCAAGUCCUAAAAUUCUGUCCCAUCUUUAGUUCUCGUACAUUAUGAUGCCAGAUUGCCAGUUUAGGAUUUGUUUACAUUUAUAGUAUUCGCAAUUUCAGUUUAUAUGUGAGUUUAUUGCAAACUUAAUGUGACACAUUUUUCUGUUGUCGAUUGUAGGAAUUGAUUAUUUAUCUGUUGCCGCCUGGACUGAUUUGAUUCCAUCUCAUCUCGUCUUUCUAAAGAGCAGGGAAAUCAUUCUUGUAGAAGCCUUAAAACUUGAUAACGUUCAACCUGGAAUAUAUUCUGUCCACUGCUUACCUCUAAGGUUGCUUGGUGCUGAGGGAUCCCCAAUAAGAUGCAUUCUCAUCAAAUAAUUAUUUUUUUCAGUGCACAAUAUGGCCUUAGGAGUCAAAAGCAGAAUAAGUCGGUGUAAAAUGAGACUGUAAAUGAUCAUAAGGAGGGAUGCCGUUUAAACAUGUUUUUUUGGUGUGUUUGCCCUCAUUACAUAAACUUAUUUGAGAAUUAUCUUAAACUAGUCAUUUGCCUUUGCCUGUACGAUGUGUCAGUUUUAAAAUUUAUUAAAUUAUUAUUAUUUAAAUUUGUAGUGUCAUUUUACUUUUUCACUACAAGAUUUUUCUAGAUUAUAAAUAGAUAUUUCCAUUGGUAAUGUGAAAAUCCGUUUAUAAAAUUAUUUACAAAACAAAGUCGGUUUGUAUAAUUCUUGUUUGUAA